AAUAGAUACCCGGGUAGUCCACGCCGUAAACGAUGAGUGCUAAGUGUUAGAGGGUUUCCGCCCUUUAGUGCUGAAGUUAACGCAUUAAGCACUCCGCCUGGGGAGUACGGCCGCAAGGCUGAAACUCAAAGGAAUUGACGGGGGCCCGCACAAGCGGUGGAGCAUGUGGUUUAAUUCGAAGCAACGCGAAGAGCCUUACCAGGUCUUGACAUCCUCUGACAACCCUAGAGAUAGGGCUUCUCCUUCGGGAGCAGAGUGACAGGUGGUGCAUGGUUGUCGUCAGCUCGUGUCGUGAGAUGUUGGGUUAAGUCCCGCAACGAGCGCAACCCUUGAUCUUAGUUGCCAUCAUUAAGUUGGGCACUCUAAGGUGACUGCCGGUGACAAACCGGAGGAAGGUGGGGAUGACGUCAAAUCAUCAUGCCCCUUAUGACCUGGGCUACACACGUGCUACAAUGGACGGUACAAAGAGCUGCAAGACCGCGAGGUGGAGCUAAUCUCAUAAAGCCGUCUCAGUUCGGAUUGCACU
rnacentral:rRNA from 1 species